rnacentral:rRNA from 1 species
UGCGGGGGGAGCAAGCGUUGUUCGGAUUUACUGGGCGUAAAGGGCGCGUAGGCGGCCACCGCAAGUCGACUGUGAAAUCUCCGGGCUUAACCCGGAAAGGUCAGCCGAUACUGCGGGGCUAGAGUGCAGAAGGGGCAACUGGAAUUCUCGGUGUAGCGGUGAAAUGCGUAGAUAUCGAGAGGAACACCUGCGGCGAAGGCGGGUUGCUGGGCUGACACUGACGCUGAGGCGCGAAAGCGUGGGGAGCGAACAGG